GACGAACGCUGGCGGCAUGCUUAACACAUGCAAGUCGAACGACGUGGCGAACGGGUGAGUAACACGUAAUCAACCUGCCCUUCAGAGGGGGGCAACAGUUGGAAACGACUGCUAAUACAGCAAACUGAGGGAGGGGAUUGCGUCUGAUUAGCUAGUUGGCGGGGUAACGGCCCAGCAAGGCGAUGAUCAGUAGCCGGUCUGGGAGGAUGAACGGCCACAUUGAGACUGAGACAUGGCCCAGACUCCUACGGUAGGCAGCAGUGGGGAUGCUUCCGCAAUGGACGAGAGUCUGACGGAGAAACGCCGCGUGAGUGAUGACGGCCUUCGGGUUGUAGAGCUCUGUUAAUCGGGACGCGGUACCGGAAUAGAAAGCCACGGCUAACUACGUGCCAGCAGACGCGGUAAUAC
rnacentral:rRNA from 1 species